GACGAACGCUGGCGGCGUGCUUAACACAUGCAAGUCGAACGGAAAGGCCCUGCUUUUGUGGGGUGCUCGAGUGGCGAACGGGUGAGUAACACGUGAGUAACCUGCCCUUGACUUUGGGAUAACUUCAGGAAACUGGGGCUAAUACCGGAUAGGAGCUCCUGCUGCAUGGUGGGGGUUGGAAAGUUUCGGCGGUUGGGGAUGGACUCGCGGCUUAUCAGCUUGUUGGUGGGGUAGUGGCUUACCAAGGCUUUGACGGAUAGCCGGCCUGAGAGGGUGACCGGCCACAUUGGGACUGAGAUACGGCCCAGACUCCUACGGGAGGCAGCAGUGGGGAAUAUUGCACAAUGGGCGGAAGCCUGAGGCAGCAACGCCGCGUGCGGGAUGACGGCCUUCGGGUUGUAAACCGCUUUCGCCUGUGACGAAGCGUGAGUGACGGUAAUGGGUAAAGAAGCACCGGCUAACUACGUG
rnacentral:rRNA from 1 species